UACGGGGGGGCAAGCGUUGUUCGGAAUUACUGGGCGUAAAGGGCUCGUAGGCGGCCAACUAAGUCAGACGUGAAAUCCCCAGGCUCAACCUGGGAACUGCGUCCGAUACUGGAAGGCUUGAAUCCGGGAGAGGGAUGCGGAAUUCCAGGUGUAGCGGUGAAAUGCGUAGAUAUCUGGAGGAACACCGGUGGCGAAGGCGGCAUCCUGGACCGGCAUUGACGCUGAGGCGCGAAAGCUAGGGGAGCAAACGGGG
rnacentral:rRNA from 1 species